rnacentral:rRNA from 1 species
UACGUAGGGGGCAAGCGUUGUCCGGAAUUACUGGGCGUAAAGCGCCUGUAGGCGGGAACGUGCGUCGGACGUGAAAGGCGGGGGCUAACCCCCGAGCGGCGUUCGAAACGGCGUUUCUUGAGGGUCGAAGAGGAGCGUGGAAUUCCCGGUGUAGCGGUGAAAUGCGCAGAUAUCAGGAGGAACACCGAUGGCGAAGGCAGGUCUCUGGGCCACUACUGACGCUGGAGAAGCGGAAAGCAUGGGGAG